CUCACUGCUAUCGGGGUGGGACUAAAACAUGCAAGUCGAGCGCCUCCAAGCUAUGGUGAAGGCGCGGCAUACGGCUCAGUAACACGUGGCCAACCUACCCUUGGGACGGAGACAACCCCGGGAAACUGGGGCUAAUCCCCGAUAGGUAAGGAAUCCUGGAAUGGGUCCUCGCUGAAAAGGCAUCUUGAGCAUGCUUCUUGAUGUCGCCCAAGGAUGGAGCCGCGACCGAUCAGGUAGUUGGCGAGGCAAUGGCUCACCAAGCCUAUAACCGGUACGGGCCGUGAGAGCGGGAGCCCGGAGAUGGGCACUGAGAUAAGGGCCCAGGCCCUACGGGGCGCAGCAGUUGCGAAAACUCCACAAUGCACGAAAGUGCGAUGGGGCUACCCCGAGUGCCGUCCGCUGAGGACGGCUUUUCCACGGUGUAAGGAGCCGUGGGAAUAAGGAGAGGGCAAGCCUGGUGUCGGCCGCCGCGGUAAUACCAGCUCUCCGAGUGGUGAGGACGAUUAUUGGGCUUAAAGCGUUCGUAGCCGGCUUAACAAGUCUUCCGUUAAAUUCAACGAUCUAAUCGUUGGUCUGCGGAAGAUACUGUUGGGCUAGGAGGCGGGAGAGGCCGACGGUAUCCUCGGGGUAGGGGUGAAAUCCUGUAAUCCCGGGAGGACCACCAGUGGCGAA
rnacentral:rRNA from 1 species